UCAACCAGAAAAUUACAGUGCACGUGAUCAGGACUGUGCAGUUGUUCAUUCAUCGUAUCACUACACGUGGCAUGAUGACAGUUGUACCGCGAUAAACUAUCCUAUCUGUGAGAAACCAACCGGAUCGGAGACGAUUCUAGUCGGAUAGGAAAUAGUUUCCUUGUUCAUGUACAGUAAAGAUGACAUAGCAAAUACCAAUAAUUAAACGAACCACUUAAUUUUUGCUAUUGAAAAGAAUAAAUGAUUGUACAUUA